rnacentral:rRNA from 1 species
AUUGAACGCUGGCGGCAUGCUUUACACAUGCAAGUCGGACGGCAGCACAGAGAAGCUUGCUUCUUGGGUGGCGAGUGGCGAACGGGUGAGUAAUAUAUCGGAACGUACCGAGUAAUGGGGGAUAACUAAUCGAAAGAUUAGCUAAUACCGCAUAUUCUCUGAGGAGGAAAGCCGGGGACCUUCGGGCCUUGCGUUAUUCGAGCGGCCGAUAUCUGAUUAGCUAGUUGGUGGGGUAAAGGCCUACCAAGGCGACGAUCAGUAGCGGGUCUGAGAGGAUGAUCCGCCACACUGGGACUGAGACACGGCCCAGACUCCUACGGGAGGCAGCAGUGGGGAAUUUUGGACAAUGGGCGCAAGCCUGAUCCAGCCAUGCCGCGUGUCUGAAGAAGGCCUUCGGGUUGUAAAGGACUUUUGUCAGGGAAGAAAAGGCUGUUGCUAAUAUCGACAGCUGAUGACGGUACCUGAAGAAUAAGCACCGGCUAACUACGUG